CCUACGGGUGGCAGCAGUGAGGAAUAUUGGUCAAUGGACGAGAGUCUGAACGAGCCAAGUAGCGUGAAGGAUGACUGUCCUAUGGGUUGUAAACUUCUUUUAUAUGGGAAUAAAAUGUUCCACGUGUGGGUUCUCGUUUGUACCAUAUGUAUCAGGAUAGGCUAACUCCGUGCCAGCAGCCGCGGUAAUACGGAGGAUCGGAGCGUUAUCCGGAUUUAUUGGGUUUAAAGGGAGCGUAGGUGGAUUGUUAAGUCAGUUGUGAAAGUUUGCGGCUCAACCGUAAAAUUGCAGUUGAAACUGGCAGUCUUGAGUGCAGUAGAGGUGGGCGGAAUUCGUGGUGUAGCGGUGAAAUGCUUAGAUAUCACGAAGAACUCCGAUUGCGAAAGCAGCUCACUGGACUGCAACUGACGCUGAGGCUCGAAAGUGUGGGUAGCAAACAGGAUUAGAUACCCGGGUAGUC
rnacentral:rRNA from 1 species